GAUGAACGCUGGCGGCGUGCCUAAUACAUGCAAGUCGAGCGAACAGACGAUGAGCUUGCGCCUCUGACGUUAGCGGCUGACGGGUGAGUAACACGUGCAUAACCUACUUAUAAUACUGGGAUAACAACGGGAAACCGGAGCUAAUACUGGAUAAUAUAUUGAACCGCAUGGUUCAAUAGUGAAAGACGGUUUUGCUGUCACUUAUAGAUGGAUCCGCGCCGCAUUAGCGAGUUGGUAAGGUAACGGCUUACCAAGGCGACGAUGCGUAGCCGACCUGAGAGGGUGAUCGGCCACACUGGAACUGCGACACGGUCCAGACUCCUACGGGAGGCAGCAGUAGGGAAUCUUGCGCAAUGGGCGAAAGCCUGACGGAGCAACGCCGCGUGAGUGAUGAAGGUCUUCGGAUCGUAAAACUCUGUUAUUAGGGAAGAACAAAUGUGUAAGUAACUAUGCACGUCUUGACGGUACCUAAUCAGAAAGCCACGGCUAACUACGUG
rnacentral:rRNA from 1 species